rnacentral:rRNA from 1 species
GCAGUGGGGAAUCUUGGACAAUGGGCGCAAGCCUGAUCCAGCCAUGCCGCGUGAGUGAUGAAGGCCUUAGGGUCGUAAAGCUCUUUCGCCAGGGAUGAUAAUGACAGUACCUGGUAAAGAAACCCCGGCUAACUCCGUGCCAGCAGCCGCGGUAAUACGGAGGGGGUUAGCGUUGUUCGGAAUUACUGGGCGUAAAGCGCGCGUAGGCGGACCAGAAAGUUGGGGGUGAAAUCCCGGGGCUCAACCCCGGAACGGCCUCCAAAACUCCUGGUCUUGAGUUCGAGAGAGGUGAGUGGAAUUCCGAGUGUAGAGGUGAAAUUCGUAGAUAUUCGGAGGAACACCAGUGGCGAAGGCGGCUCACUGGCUCGAUACUGACGCUGAGGUGCGAAAGUGUGGGGAGCAAACAGGAUUAGAUACCCUGGUAGUCCACACCGUAAACGAUGAAUGCCAGCGUUCGCAAGCAUGCUUUCGGUGACA